rnacentral:rRNA from 1 species
UCCGGAUUUAUUGGGCGUAAAGCGAGCGCAGGCGGUUUUUUAAGUCUGAUGUGAAAGCCCUCGGCUUAACCGAGGAAGCGCAUCGGAAACUGGGAAACUUGAGUGCAGAAGAGGACAGUGGAACUCCAUGUGUAGCGGUGAAAUGCGUAGAUAUAUGGAAGAACACCAGUGGCGAAGGCGGCUGUCUGGUCUGUAACUGACGCUGAGGCUCGAAAGCAUGGGUAGCGAACAGGAUUANAUACCCUGGUAGUCCAUGCCGUAAACGAUGAAUGCUANGUGUUGGAGGGUUUCCGCCCUUCAGUGCCGCAGCUAACGCAUUAAGCAUUCCGCCUGGGGAGUACGACC